rnacentral:pre_miRNA from 1 species
UGUUUUGAAUGCUCUGGAAGAUAUGGGAUUUUGUUGUUGUAAAUACAGUACUCAAACAACAAGUCACAGCCUUCCAUAAUAUUCAAAAUG